rnacentral:rRNA from 1 species
GACGAACGCUGGCGGCGUGCUUAGCACAUGCAAGUCGAACGGAAAGGCCCUGCUUUUGUGGGGUGCUCGAGUGGCGAACGGGUGAGUAACACGUGAGUAACCUGCCCUUGACUUUGGGAUAACUUCAGGAAACUGGGGCUAAUACCGGAUAGGAGCUCCUGCUGCAUGGUGGGUGUUGGAAAGUUUCGGCGGUUGGGGAUGGACUCGCGGCUUAUCAGCUUGUUGGUGGGGUAGUGGCUUACCAAGGCUUUGACGGGUAGCCGGCCUGAGAAGGUGACCGGCCACAUUGGGACUGAGGUACGGCCCAGACUCCUACGGGAGGCAGCAGUGGGGAAUAUUGCACAAUGGGCGGAAGCCUGAUGCAGCAACGCCGCGUGCGGGAUGACGGCCUUCGGGUUGUAAACCGCUUUCGCCUGUGACGAAGCGUGAGUGACGGUAAUGGGUAAAGAAGCACCGGCUAACUACGUG